AUACUUUUGGUUCACGAGAGUUGCGACUGAAGGAACCACCUGCCAAUUGCAGAAGUUAGAGAAGUACAACUGAAUAAAAAGACACAGAAGAAGAGAGCAUGUCUUGAGGAAAAAUGGUACAACUAGACAGUUUCUUAGCAUGAAUGUAUAGAUGGUUAAGUCGUAUAUAAUGAUCUGAAUUAAUUAACAAGCAAAACACAAAAAUACAUGAAAGUCUCUUCAUGACUGAUGACUGAAGGAGCAUAACAAAGCAGGAUUCAAAACCACUAAAUUGUAACUACUGGCUUAAUGCACCAUCAGCUUCUGUGAUGGCUACAGUACUGUUGACCCACUACAACAUUUAUCCUUAUUGCCUUCUCAAGGACUCAUAUGUUGCACCAAGUUGUCUUGUCCCACUUUGUCUGAACCACGCAAAUUGGAUUAGAAAAAUAAUCACCUUGUAUUUCCUAGUCACCCCUCCUGUGGUUUAUGCACCAAUAGUCCUGACUUCUAUCAUCAAAAGACAGAGCAGAACGAUGGCCCAGCUUAAUGGGAUUGGCUUGCAUGUCAAUAUGCACUGAGAUAUGAGAUCAGUUACAAUAGUUUUGAGCAUGAAUCCUAAACACCCCAUCCCAAAAACCAAAUUGCUAACAAACAAAUUGAAAACAAUAAAGAAGCCUCAGAUCAGAUUUGACCCAAUGCAACUCUCUGGCCAAAAUGUUAACAUGAAUUAAACCUUCUGUCCUUGUAAAACAUACAAAUUUGGAUUAGAAAUUUUUAAAUGAUAAUGCUGAUCAUAUAAACAAUAAAUGCUCUGCUAUGCUAAAACACUAGGAAUUGGUAGCACAGCAGCAUCGAAUUAUGCUCUCCAAAUGGCAACCAAUUGUCUGUAGCCAUAUAUACUAUAUUUCAAAAUCUCCUAACACCUGACCUGACCUUGCUGUGGGAGUGGAGGGGGUGUAUGACGGCUCGUCAGCAAAUUACAAAAUACUAUUAACAGCUUCUAUAUUUUUUUCUGCAAUACCUCUAAUCUACUUUCCAAUCUUUUCAAACCCAGUAUAAGCUUUAUUGAGUACAUAAUAUGAAAACAACAAAGACAGACCACCAAACUCCUACAAUAAUAAUUCGUUAAAAAAUUCAACAAAAAAUACCCUAAAGCAGAAAAUAGAAGAGAACUACAAAACCCAGAUAAAAUCCACAGCUGUAGGACACCAACCCCCCAAACUUACACUGAUUUAAAAAAAUAAAAAAUGCUAAAAAUUAAUAAAGAACUAUCAACUUGAUUAUAAGACGUGAAAA
rnacentral:misc_RNA from 1 species